CUGACUGCUAUCGGAUUGGUACUAAGCCAUGCGAGUCAUUGUAGCAAUACAAGGCGGACGGCUCAGUAACACGUAGUCAACCUAACUCGUGGACGUGGAUAACCUCGGGAAACUGAGAAUAAACCACGAUAGAUCAUAGUGCCUGGAAUGGCUUAUGGUCCAAACAGUUUACUGCCAUGGGAUGGGACUGCGGCCUAUCAGCUUGUUGGUGAGGUAAUGGCCCACCAAGGCGAUUACAGGUACGGGCUCUGAGAGGAGUAGCCCGGAGAUGGGUACUGAGACACGGACCCAGGCCCUAUGGGGCGCAGCAGGCGAGAAACCUUAGCAAUGUGCGAAAGCACGACUGGGUCAGUCCGAGUGAUUCCUGAUAAAGGAGUCUUUUGCCUGUCCUAAAAGCACAGGUGAAUAAGGGGUGGGCAAGUCUGGUGUCAGCCGCCGCGGUAAUACCAGCACCUCGAGUGGUCAGGACGUUUAUUGGGCCUAAAGCAUCCGCAGCCGGCUUUGCAAGUCUUCGGUUAAAUCCACCUGCUCAACAGAUGGGCCGCUGGAGAUACUACAGAGCUAGGGAGUGGGAGAGGCAGACGGUAUUCAGUGGGUAGGGGUAAAAUCCUCUGAUCCAUUGAGGACCACCAGUGGCGAAGGCGGUCUGCCAGAACACGUUCGACGGUGAGGGAUGAAAGCUGGGGGAGCAAACCGGAUUAGAUACCCGGGUAGUCCCAGCUGUAAACGAUGCAAACUCGGUGAUGCAUUGGCUUAUGGCCAAUGCAGUGCCGCAGGGAAGCCGUUAAGUUUGCCGCCUGGGAAGUACGGACGCAAGUCUGAAACUUAAAGGAAUUGGCGGGGGAGCAC
rnacentral:rRNA from 1 species